rnacentral:rRNA from 1 species
GUGGGGAAUAUUGGACAAUGGGCGAAAGCCUGAUCCAGCCAUGCCGCGUGUGUGAAGAAGGCCUUCGGGUUGUAAACCGCUUUUGUCGGGGAAGAAACGCUCUGGGCUAAUACCCUGGGGUAAUGACGGUACCCGAAGAAUAAGCACCGGCUAACUACGUGCCAGCAGCCGCGGUAAUACGUAGGGUGCGAGCGUUAAUCGGAAUUACUGGGCGUAAAGCGUGCGCAGGCGGUCUUGUAAGACAGAGGUGAAAUCCCCGGGCUCAACCUGGGAACUGCCUUUGUGACUGCAAGGCUUGAGUGCGGCAGAGGGGGAUGGAAUUCCGCGUGUAGCAGUGAAAUGCGUAGAUAUGCGGAGGAACACCGAUGGCGAAGGCAAUCCCCUGGGCCUGCACUGACGCUCAUGCACGAAAGCGUGGGGAGCAAACAGGAUUAGAAACCCCAGUAGUCC